rnacentral:lncRNA from 1 species
CGUUGUAUGCUUUUAAUACAUAUUUUGACCACCGCGCUCCAAAUUGAAAAGAAAACGGGUAGGUCGUCGAAGUCCGAGCUGGUUCCGGAUUCCGCCGAACUAAAACGCGGCUCCGUGGGCCAUCCGUGUGGGUCCCAGCUUCUCUCCCCCCGUUUGUCGCAAGCGCUGAUUACACGCCGUCGAUUGGACAAAUCAAGUUAGAAAUAAAUUCAGUAAAAAGAAAAACUAAAUAAUAAAUAAAAUUCCUCCUUUAUUCUUUUAAAGUAGUAAUAAUAAUAAUAAUAUUAAAACGGUUGUAGUGCUGCAAACAACAGCUGCUGCUGUUGCCGCUUUCAUCCUCAUCCUUCUCCUUUUUUUCCUUCAUCCCCACUACUUGCGAAUGAACACAUUCGGUCCCCAUUGACAUUCAUUCCCUCACAAAUAUCUCUCCUCCUUUUUCACAUUUCUAAAAUUCUCACCUGAGCUUUUAAACAAGCUAGUCGGAUACAAUGUCAGCUCCGGCACCCACCAAUUCCACCGCUCCUCCUCCGGCCACACCCUCCGCGCCUCCUCCGGCCANNNNNNNNNNNNNNNNNNNNNNNNNNNNCCCCCCCCCGCCCCCCCUCCUCCUUCCCCCCCGCCCCCCGCUUCAUCUCCUCCCCCUCCCUCAUCCACUCCUUCACCUCCUUCAUCCUCGCCGCCGACUCCUCCUUCCAACACUCCAUCGCCUCCUUCAUCAGUACCCCCUCCGUCCACGCCGAAUCCAGUAACUCCGUCCCCUCCCGGGGGUGGUGGGAAUCGCAGCCCUCCGUCUUCUACCAGAUCUCCGCCGUCUUCCUCCGGUGGUUCUCCGCCGAACUCUUCUUCUCCUUCGUCGUCUUCGAGUCUAUCAACUGGAGUGGUGGGUGGGGUUGCGCUCGGGGG